AAGACUAUACUUUCAGUGAUCAUUUCUAUAGUUCAUUAGUAGAGAAGUUUCUCUGUGUAGAGUACCAGAAACCACAAGGAGGAGACAUAGCAUUGUCUACUGAGUGAGAAGCCGGCUCUUGGUGUUGCUUUGCUGCAACUGCCUUUGCCAUUGAUGAUUGUUCUUCUCUCUUUUGGGAGAGUAGAGGGAGAGGAUGCAGUCUGAGUGGA
rnacentral:snoRNA from 1 species